rnacentral:rRNA from 1 species
UACGUAGGUGGCAAGCGUUGUCCGGAUUUACUGGGCGUAAAGAGCGCGCAGGCGGUCGUUCAAGUCGCGUGUGAAAGCCCCCGGCUCAACUGGGGAGGGUCACGCGAUACUGAUCGACUCGAAGGCAGGAGAGGGUAGUGGAAUUCCCGGUGUAUUGGUGAAAUGCGUAGAUAUCGGGAGGAACACCAGUGGCGAAGGCGACUUCCUGGACCAAUACUGACGCUCAUGUGCGAAAGCGUGGGGAGCAAACAGG